GCUAACGUAGCUUAAAUUUAAAGCAUAACCCUGAAGACGUUAAGAUGAGCCCUAGAAAGCUCCGUAAGCA
rnacentral:tRNA from 3 species